UUUUUUCUUUAAGAUCCAAUCUCUAUGUAAAAAAACUUACGACCCAGGGAAGAUUUCAUCGCCAAGCACCAGAGGCAUAAUUCCAUCAAUAGAAACAAAGAAUAAAAAAAAGCUGAUGCGGCCCAGAAGUGAUCAACGGCUAUAUAUUCCUGACGCAAUCUACAGGGUGCACCGAGCCUCAAAGAAAACAAACCUAGGCAGAAAAAAACGAAGCAAGGCGCAACAAACGAAUCUAUGCCCACCCUCUCACGGUUUACUUUCUCACUCAGUUUUUGACGGAUAAAUCUUUUCCGAACACAAAAUUGAAAAACCGCCGACAAAAGAAGUGGAAAAAAUGGGGCGCGCAGUGCUCUCUCAAUUUCUCAUCCUUUCCAAUUCCUCUCCUCGCCUCUCAUCUUCACUAUCUUGUGGCGGGCUUCAAAGUAAAUACUUGAAAAGACCUGGAUUCAUCCGUCCUGCUGUAAAUGGAGACAACGGCGCUGGUUUCCGUUGCUGCUGCAGUGUUUCGCUGUCGCAGCCAGCUGUUCCAGAGACAUCUUCAAGCUCGGUCAGGAAGAGGAUAGUAUCUGGAGUCCAGCCAACUGGAGCCAUCCACCUUGGGAAUUAUCUUGGCGCCAUAAAGAAUUGGAUUAACCUUCAGGACUUAUAUGACACACUAUUUUUCAUUGUGGACCUCCAUGCGAUUACACUACCUUAUGAUACACAAGAACUAUCUAAGGCAACAAGGAAUACAGCAGCUAUUUAUUUGGCAUGUGGUGUAGACACUUCAAAGGCUUCUGUCUUUGUGCAGUCACAUGUUCGUGCUCAUGUAGAAUUGAUGUGGCUACUGAGUUCUGCCACACCAAUUGGUUGGCUAAACAGAAUGAUCCAGUUUAAAGAGAAAUCUCGCAAGGCGGGAGAUGAAAAUGUUGGAGUUGCUCUAUUGACAUAUCCUGUUCUGAUGGCUUCUGAUAUUCUUUUGUAUCAGUCUGAUUUUGUACCAGUUGGUGAAGAUCAGAAGCAGCAUUUGGAGCUGACUCGUGAGUUGGCUGAGCGUAUUAACUAUUUAUAUGGAGGAAGGAAGUGGAAAAAGCUGGGAGGGCGUGGUGGUGCUAUUUUUAAGGUUCCUGAGCCCUUAAUACCGCCAGCUGGAGCACGAGUUAUGUCCCUCAGUGAUGGUCUUUCAAAGAUGUCUAAGUCCGCACCUUCUGAUCAGUCACGAAUCAAUCUUCUUGACCCCAAAGAUGUGAUAGCUAACAAGAUAAAGCGUUGCAAGAGUGAUUCAUUUCCAGGCCUGGAAUUUGACAAUCCUGAACGUCCUGAAUGCAACAAUCUUCUUUCGAUAUAUCAGCUAAUUUCAAGCAAGACAAAAGAGGAAGUUGUGCGGGAAUGCCAAGAUAUGAACUGGGGCACAUUUAAAACCCUGCUAACAGAUUCAUUGGUUGAUCAUUUGCAUCCUAUCCAGGCUCGAUAUGAGGAAAUUAUUUCUGAUUCAGCUUAUUUGGAUGGAGUCUUGGAAGAAGGGGCUGUGAAAGCUGCAGCUAUAGCUGAUGCUACUCUCAAUAAUGUCUACCAGGCAAUGGGAUUCUUGCGUAGACGCAUGAAAUGAUUUGUAUACAAACAUUAACAUGAUUCAUCAUCACCCACAGUUUUUUGGAGUAUAUACCCAUUAAAAUGUUCUGAAUAAGUGAAAAGGUUUUUUUUUGAAGGCCCACAAAUUGUUUGAUGGAGUUGCCUCUACCUCUCCUUUCCAGACAGGUGCCAUUUUAUAUCCUUAAUGUUCUUAAAGUUGGAGUUUUAUUGCUUUUUUCCCUGGACAAUUUUGGUUGUAUAAAAUACACUGAGCCUUAUAAGAACUCGUUUCCCUUUCAUGUUUUUGAGUGGAGCAAAAUUUACUUUACCUAGGCAAUCUUCUGUAAACUGUCAUUUUUUCCCUGAAGGCUUGUGUGCAGUGGUUUAUUGACAAAUCGUUUUAGCUGAUGAAACAGUUUACUGUGCUGGACAAGCAACACACAUGCUAUUGUCAUUGAAAUGAAUUAUAGUUUGCAGUGAUUGGUGUGAUAUUUUGAGUGUUUUUUCUGAAUGGACUUACAAUACUGAUAACGUAUUGUAUGCUUUGGUUAUACAACUUUGAAAGUACCCUCUGAAGUUUCUCAAGUCUUUCUAAGGAUAUUUCCUUUUAAUGAUUUGAAUGGAGAAAACAGAUAAAGGUUCAGAAUUUGGGAUUAAGGUCAGUAGAGUUGAGUUCGGAAACUUCAGAAUUUGGGUUUUGUAAGAAUUGUUUCUUGGAAGCUCCAUCCUUGUUGGAAGCAAACCUGUCAUUGCAUGUAGUGUUUAUCAUAUCCUUGGUGGGAUUCUUAUCAGCAUAGGAGACAGUGAUAUAAGAGCGAAUAUUGAUCCUUCCAGUGAAAGUAGAAAUCAGCAAUUAAUAUUCUCAUCCAAUUCCACCUGACCAUAGCCUUUCCUUUAACAAAGGAGAAGAUGUGAUGAAGCAUCUAUAAAAGACCAUUUGAGGGAGACAGAGAGAGGUCAAUGGCCCUGUAAAAUCCCCUUCUACCCUCUCUCUCCCAUUCUCUAUGCGACGGGUGGCAAAGGAAUAAAGGGAGCAUCCUUCUCAACUCUUCCUUCUUUAACUUUUGGCUGACAGUUUUUUACAGGCGAGAUGGAAAGAGAAAGUUACAAGACAAGGACAACUGUCUGCUCAUAUAAAGACUACUUGGACUCUUUGGAAUUAGUCAAGAGGAUCCGAUAAUCCCAAGAUUCCUAUAUAAAUUGAAAACUGGAAACAUGGUAACUCAUCCUUAAGCUCUGGUCACGCUUAAAGGCAGGCAGUUCCUAACUAUUAAGUAGGUGCUAUAGUAUAUAAUAUUCUAAUAAUAUGAAAAGGUGAUUACUAAUCUCAAUACUAAACCUUUCAGGGCACCUUAUUCAGAUAAAUCUUUUGGAGUGGAAUCUGAAGCGAGCUAAAUGUACAGUCAGACAGAUCACGCUCUACAAAAAUUAAUGGAUGUUGAC